rnacentral:rRNA from 1 species
AACGAACGCUGGCGGCAGGCCUAACACAUGCAAGUCGAGCGAGGACUUCGGUCCUAGCGGCGGACGGGUGCGUAACGCGUGGGAACGUGCCCUUUGCUUCGGAAUAGCCCUGGGAAACUGGGCGUAAUACCGGCUGAGCCCUCUGGGGGAAAGAUUUAUCGGCGAAGGAUCGGCCCGCGUUGGAUUAGCUAGUUGGUGGGGUAAUGGCCUACCAAGCCGACGAUCCAUAGCUGGUUUGAGAGGAUGAUCAGCCACACUGGGACUGAGACACGGCCCAGACUCCUACGGGAGGGAGCAGUGGGGAAUCUUAGACAAUGGGGGAAACCCUGAUCGAGCCAUGCCGCGUGAGCGAUGAAGGCCUUAGGGUUGUAAAGCUCUCUCAGCUGGGAAGAUAAUGACGGUACCAGCAGAAGAAGCCCCGGCUAACUCCGUG